GUGCAAAGCUGUCAUCAAAGCAAAGGGUGUUACUUCACGCAACCCUGUUUUUAAAUCUCCCUUCCUGUUUUAAAUCUCACUUCCUGUUUUAAAUCUCCCUUCCUGUUUUGACAUUCCCUGAGAUAUGGUCCUAUGUUACUUCACUCAUUCCAGUUUUAAAUUCAACCUCACGGUCUGAAAUGAAAACAACACAGUGGAGAACUAGUAACAAAACUUUAUUGAAUAAUCUAAACGAGAACUGAAAUAGACAUUAAAUGACUUUUUAUAAUGUGUGUCAGAGCUAUAAUUGUUUGUUAUAAUGUCUCCAUCAGGAGUCUGAAUCAACAACCUGUGUGUGUGUGUGUGUGUGUGUGUGUCAGCGUGUGGUGUGUAUACAUGUGAGAAAGUCGAACAUUCUUCAGAAGACAGCUCCCCUCCUUCCAUCUGACUGUCAGAGGUCAAACCCCACCCCCCAUCCGUCUUUCCUCGUGCACUUCCUCGUCCUUCUUUCUCCUGGAGUCUGUUUUGAGUUUAAAGCUUUAAACGGACCUCAGCUGCUUCAUACCCUGCAGCGUCAUACAUCAUACGCAGCGCGACAAAGUGGGAGGCGAGCGGCGAUGCGUUCCUCAGUUUGAGGAGACCAACACGCCCGAGUAUAAAUCGGUUUGUUCUCGACUGUUAAAUGGCGUACAAGUGCAUCUUUGCAAUCUAAACGCGUCGUCUCUGGAUAUGUUAUUCUACUAGAGGUUUGUCUGGCCGUCCGUUCCGUUCCUGGUCCUCCCCGUCCUGCACCUCGAUCUCUUCAGGGUUGGUGCUUCGUUCCUGGUCCUCCCCGUCCUGCACCUCGAUCUCUUCAGGGUUGGUGCUUCGUUCCUGGUCCUCCCCGUCCUGCACCUCGAUCUCUUCAGGAGUGGUGCUCCAUUCGGAGACGGAUUCGCCCUCUCUCGUCUUCCUCUUUCUGGAGGUGGAGGGUUGGUUCUCUGCGGUGCCCGUGGUGCGGUAUCUUCUCCCUUCGACGCCGUCUCAAGGAAGGCGCUGGUUUCACCGGCUUUGGAAGGAUUCAUCGCGUAACGUUUGUCUUUCAUCUGGCUGUCGUGGCACAUGAAGUCAGCCAGCAUUUCCCUGUCGGCAUUCGGGAGAACGUUUUUGACCUGUUAAGACACAAACAAGACAGAUAAAAGAUGGUAUUUUAGCCAUCGAUGGUUUUCAGACAGCCGUGGAAUAGAAUCUUUUUAUUUACAUCGCCCCCACUAUCUGACUGACAUGACUGACGAUGGAAGUCCGCAGCUCGGUGAAGUUAGGGCUUUCAGGCAGGCCCAUCUCCUUCCACGCCUCUUUCAGGUAGACCGGUAGAUUCCUGAUCUCAGUGUUGGUGGAAUUGAAAAAAAAAGUGCCGGGCUUUCUUUCCCCCUGGGAGGAAGUGCUUGAAUUUCAGGAAGUCUGAAAACCAAGUGUACUCUUCUUUGGUCAGCGACAUCUGGAUCGUGGUUUUCAUUUGUUGUGUGUUUCCCACCUGUUAGGAAAUGAAAAACAAACAAACAAACAGGCAUUAACGCUGCGGUGCCUGCAGUCGUUUCCAAAAACCAACCAAUCACGUUCAGGUGUACAGUUAUAGACUUACGUUGAUCAGACAGGUCCCAGACAGGCCCCACUGGGCCACAUUCAGGUGUACAGUUAUAGACUGACGUUGAUCAGACAGGUCCCAGACAGGCCCCACUGGGCCACGUUCAGGUGUACAGUUAUAGACUUACGUUGAUCAGACAGGUCCCAGACAGGCCCCACUGGGCCACGUUCAGGUGUACAGUUAUAGACUUACGUUGAUCAGACAGGUCCCAGACAGGCCCCACUGGGCCACGUUCAGGUGUACAGUUAUAGACUGACGUUGAUCAGACAGGUCCCAGACAGGCCCCACUGGGCCACGUUCAGGUGUACAGUUAUAGACUUACGUUGAUCAGACAGGUCCCAGACAGGCCCCACUGGGCCACGUUCAGGUGUACAGUUAUAGACUUACGUUGAUCAGACAGGUCCCAGACAGGCCCCACUGGGCCUCCUCCACCUCCUUCACCGUCAUGUUUCUAUACAGGCCCGGGCUGUGGCCGUACAUGGAGGUAAAAUAGGCACACAGGAAUCCGUAAAACCGGUUCUGGUUCCUCUGUGUCCUCGUUUCUUCCGAGAUUUCUGUUGGAUAAUGAGAAUAAAAACAGGAUAGCUUCCAUAAUGUCCUGUAAACAUCUAUAAUAAUAACAGACAGCUUCCAUAAUGUCCUGUAAACAUCUAUAAUAAUAACAGACAGCUUCCAUAAUGUCCUGUAAACAUCUAUAAUAAUAACAGACAGCUUCCAUAAUGUCCUGUAAACAUCUAUAAUAAUAACAGACAGCUUCCAUAAUGUCCUGUAUACAUCUAUAAUAAUAACAGACAGCUUCCAUAAUGUCCUGUAAACAUCUAUAAUAAUAACAGACAGCAUAAUGUCCUGUAAACAUCUAUAAUAAUAACAGACAGCUUCCAUAAUGUCCUGUAUACAUCUAUAAUAAUAACAGACAGCUUCCAUAAUGUCCUGUAAACAUCUAUAAUAAUAACAGACAGCAUAAUGUCCUGUAAACAUCUAUAAUAAUAACAGACAGCUUCCAUAAUGUCCUUUAAACAUCUAUAAUAAUAACAGACA
rnacentral:lncRNA from 1 species